CCUACGGGCGGCAGCAGUGGGGAAUAUUGGACAAUGGGGGAAACCCUGAUCCAGCGACGCCGCGUGAGUGAAGAAGUAUUUCGGUACGUAAAGCUCUAUCAGCAGGAAAGAAAAUGACGGUACCUGACUAAGAAGCCCCGGCUAACUACGUGCCAGCAGCCGCGGUAAUACGUAGGGGGCAGGCGUUAUCCGGAUUUACUGGGUGGAAAGGGAGCGUAGACGGAAGCGCAAGUCUGGAGUGAAAUGCCGGGGCCCAACCCCGGAACUGCUCUGGAAACUGUGAAGCUGGAGUGCAGGAGAGGUAAGCGGAAUUCCUGGUGUAGCGGUGAAAUGCGUAGAUAUACGGAGGAACACCAGUGGCGAAGGCGGAUUGCUGGACAGUAACUGACGCUGAGGCGCGAAAGCGUGGGGAGCAAACAGGAUUAGAUACCCCUGUAGUC
rnacentral:rRNA from 1 species